rnacentral:lncRNA from 1 species
AGCGCUGCUCCGGCUUCUGGCCCCUGGCGGGCUUCUUGUCCGCGCGCCGGGAGCCGGCCGCGCCCGGGGCUGCCUUCUUCGCUUUGUGCGCGGUGGGGGCCGGGGCGGUGGCGGCCGCCGGGGCUCCGCGCCGCUCCCCGCCGCCCUCCAGCUUCUUGCGGUUGAGCUUGAAGGAACCGUUGGCGCCGGUGCCCUUCACCUGCAGAAGCGUGUCGUUCUGCACCAGCGCCUUGAUCGAGUACUUGAGAUGGGGACAACGCCGCCGAGCCGCCAGCCUUGGUCACCUUCUUGGCCAUUCCCUCGGCGGUCGUCACUGGCAGGGCCUCCUCGAGCUCCACGGACAUGGGAAAUGAUGGCGGGAACACAGCAAAGGAGACCAUGUCCUGGAGAGGGUCCCGGGCCCCACCCUCCCCGGGGGGGCUUGUGCAAGGCUGGCGGCCCGAUCUCUGCUGAUUCCAGUAUUGGGGGUGCAGAGAAGGCACAGGACAGUUUUUGUUGAAGCCGUUGCAGCCUCCACUUGGGGAAGCUGAGGCCAGGGGCACAGGACAACGUUGAGGGCCUGAGGCCUCCACCUUCUUGAAGAAGGACCAUGUGAAUUUCCUGACAGAGAACGGGGAUGGGUUUCUGAAAGCACCACCCAGCUGAGCCUGCCGAAACUGCACAGCUGUUUCCAGGCCAGGCUGGCUGCAUGGAGGACGUGAGAGGAACAGCCAGCUGUGUGUGCUGGGCCCACUGAUCAGGGUGCUCAGGACCAGGAGCCUUCUGAGGAUGUGCAGAGGGGACUCUGGGGAGAGGAACAUGGUGGCCACAGCUGGAGUGACCGCAGUGUACAGAGAUGGGAUGGGAGCAGGAAACCCAAAAGAGCCGGCCCUGGAACCAGGUGGAGGGGAGGCAGCCCGGCCAUGACCCAGAGCAGGACACCUGCUCCACUUCACCUUUUGCCAUGAGUAAAAGCUCCCUGAGGCCUCCCAAGAAGUUGAUGCCCUGUGCUUCCUGUACAGCUGCGGAACCGGAUGGCUUUCCGUGGCUUUGCUACAGCCACUCCUGGAAGUGCUGCCUGACUGAAUCCUCAGGGCACCCCGGCAGGAUGGACGUGGUGUACCCCCUACUUUACAGAUGGGGAAACUGAGGCUUGAGAGCUAAAGCAGCCCACCCAGCUCCCAGAGAUGAGGAGGCCGACUCUGGCAGGAGUCACUGUCGGUGCAUGGGCAUUUCUUCCUGUUACAGCCUGCGGCCCCUUCCAGGCCGGGAGGCCUUCUGCGCAGGGGCACCCUCCCUGCAUGGCCCGAUGACCUGCACUCCUGUUUCAUCUCCCCGUGUGGCACCUGGGGCAGCUUGGAGCCUACCAAGGUCUCAACAAGGAACCAGUAAAUACCAAAAAAAGGACAUCACGUCCCCUACAGCUAACUGCAAAUGGUGACCAUCCCAGCCCUUGUUUGAUAACACAAGCAAAGCAAUGGCUUCUUCAAGGACACCGAGAGGAACCUCACCUCUUUCUAAAACCUCCAACACAGGGCCAGGCGCGGUGGCUCAUGCGUGUAAUCCCAGCACUUUGGGAGGCCGAGGCAGGUGGAUCACGAGGUCAGGAGAUCGAGACCAUCCUGGCUAACACGGUGAAACCCCGUCUCUACUAAAAAUAAAAAAAAUUAGCCGGGCGUGGUGGUGUGCGCCUGUAGUCCCAGCUGCUCGGGGAGGCUGAGGUAGGAGAAUAGCGUGAACCCAGAAGGUGGAGGUAGCAGUGAGCCGAGAUCACUCCACUGCACUCCAGCCUGGGCAACAGAGCAAGACUCCAUCUCAAAAAACAAACAAACCUCCAACACCACCUGGAAGGGCCUGGAGGCACUCACUGAUGAGCCUGGAAUUUCUCACAGGGGACAGAGAGGUGGCCAAGGCUCCUGCACAUUUCCCCAUCUGUCUGACACCCCUUUCCAGAACCAGAAAGCGUGCUGAGCUCGGCCUCUGUCACGCAGGGUUCCAGGUAUUUCUGGGGCUCAGCAGGGAGAAGGCCAGGACGUGCUCCCUGACUCUCGGCAGGGCGGGAGAAGAAUGAAUCCUCUGAGGUCCCCAGCUUGGGGAAAAGGGGGUGGGAGAGUGGCGGGCAGAGACCUCCUCCGUAUCCCCCUCUCCUGAAGCCCUGCCGCUGUGGCAGCCCUACAGGGACUACAGGGCUCCAGCCCUACAGGGACUCUGCGGUGGGGCGGGUGUGCAGGCUCACAGGCUCUGGAAAUGCCCCAGGAUGCCUUGGCAGUGUCUCCCACAGACCCAGGAGCGCCACUAGAAACAGGACCCUUCCUCAGUCAUCCUGCAUGGGGGCUCCUGUUGCUUUGGGGGCUGCUUUCCAGCAGCUGCGUCAGACAACGACCCACCUCAUCCCCCCAGCCAGGACCUGAACAGGCACUGACGUCAGAUACGUAGACCUUGUUGCUGAACUUGUCAAAAACUUCAAUGGUGAUUUCAUACAGGCGGCCGGUCUCCAGCACCCACCUAUCACCAGGGUGAAUGGUGAACCCUAAAACAGGCAGGGGGAGCCUGAGCACUCAGGCCUCAGGGGCAGCAGGGUGGAGGAGGAUGGGACCACCACCCUCAGCACAGGGGCCCUCAGCAUCCACAUGGGAAGCCCCACUCCACCCACCUGUAGGCCCCACACCACCCACCUGCAGGCCCCACACCACUUACCUGGAGGCCCCACACCACCCACCUAGGGGCCCCACAAUUAUGGCGCUGGCCUCCUCCACAGAGAGGGACCUGUUGCUGAGGAACAGAUGCCUGAUGCCGCCUUCAGCCCUGAGUCCUGAGCUGACCUCCCGAGGACCAAACCUGGACUCAUCCCAUUCUAUCUGAACAAGGCUCCUUCAAACUUGUUCCUGUUCCUCAGUGGGUCUACACUCAGAAUCCUAGCAGCUCUGUCCUUAACACACAGCAGGUCUAUGCUCUGAAGUGAUAAUAGAUCUAUAGUGUUCACAGUAGAACUAGUCUGAACCUUCAGGGGGUCUGUGCUCUGAGGAGGGAUGGACAUAGACUCCAAGAAAGUGAUGAUUCUGGAAAAGGAACGCGUUGUUAAAGUUUGUUGAUCAAACCCAGACACAAGGUCUGUCAGAAUCUACCACAGCAUUCCCUAUCAGCCCCUCCCACUGGGGCCAACACUGAAGAAAUAAGGGGUGUCCCGUUAGUCAGGGCUGGGGCUACCUAGAGACAUGUCCCUGCAGCUUCCUACAUCAGAUCUGCCCAUGUCCUUGUGAAAAAUGCAGAUGCUUGGCCCCUGGCCCAGGCUGUGUCUGCAAGAAGCCUGGGAAACUCCAUUUUAUCCACCU